AACGAACGCUGGCGGCAUGCCUAACACAUGCAAGUCGAACGAGACCUUCGGGUCUAGUGGCGCACGGGUGCGUAACGCGUGGGAACCUGCCUUUAGGUUCGGAAUAACUCAGAGAAAUUUGAGCUAAUACCGGAUGAUGUCUUCGGACCAAAGAUUUAUCGCCUUUAGAUGGGCCCGCGUUGGAUUAGCUAGUUGGUGGGGUAAAGGCCUACCAAGGCGACGAUCCAUAGCUGGUCUGAGAGGAUGAUCAGCCACACUGGGACUGAGACACGGCCCAGACUCCUACGGGAGGCAGCAGUGGGGAAUAUUGGACAAUGGGCGAAAGCCUGAUCCAGCAAUGCCGCGUGAGUGAUGAAGGCCUUAGGGUUGUAAAGCUCUUUUACCCGAGAUGAUAAUGGCAGUAUCGGAAGAAUAAGCUCCGGCUAACUCCGUG
rnacentral:rRNA from 1 species